GGGGAGCGAACAGGAUUAGAUACCCUGGUAGUCCACGCCGUAAACGGUGGGCACUAGUUGUGGGGACCUUCCACGGUCUCUGCGACGCAGCUAACGCAUUAAGUGCCCCGCCUGGGGAGUACGAUCGCAAGAUUAAAACUCAAAGGAAUUGACGGGGCCCCGCACAAGCAGCGGAGCAUGCGGCUUAAUUCGACGCAACGCGAAGAACCUUACCAAGGCUUGACAUAUACAGGAAUAUGGCAGAGAUGUCAUAGCCGCAAGGUCUGUAUACAGGUGGUGCAUGGUUGUCGUCAGCUCGUGUCGUGAGAUGUUGGGUUAAGUCCCGCAACGAGCGCAACCCUCGUUCUGUGUUGCCAGCAUUUAGUUGGGGACUCACAGGAGACUGCCGGGGUUAACUCGGAGGAAGGUGGGGAUGACGUCAAAUCAUCAUGCCCCUUAUGUCUUGGGCUGCACGCAUGCUACAAUGGCUGGUACAAACGGCUGCAAUACCGCAAGGUGGAGCGAAUCCGAGAAAGCCAGUCUCAGUUCGGAUUGGGGUCUGCAACUCGACCCCAUGAAGUCGGAGUUGCUAGUAAUCGUAGAUCAGCAACGCUACGGUGAAUACGUUCCCGGGGCUUGUACACACCGCCCGUCACGUCACGAAAGUCGGUAACACCCGAAGUCAGUGGCCCAACCGCAAGGAGGGAGCUGCCGAAG
rnacentral:rRNA from 1 species